rnacentral:rRNA from 1 species
GCCUACGGGGGGCAGCAGUGAGGAAUAUUGGUCAAUGGUCGGGAGACUGAACCAGCCAAGCCGCGUGAGGGAUGAAGGUACAGAGUAUCGUAAACCUCUUUUGUCAGGGAACAAAGGCGGGGACGUGUCUCCGGAUGAGUGUACCUGAAGAAAAAGCAUCGGCUAACUCCGUGCCAGCAGCCGCGGUAAUACGGAGGAUGCGAGCGUUAUCCGGAUUUAUUGGGUUUAAAGGGUGCGCAGGCGGUCUGUUAAGUCAGCGGUCAAAGCCCGGGGCUCAACCCCGGCCCGCCGUUGAAACUGGCAGG